rnacentral:rRNA from 1 species
UACGUAGGGGGCAAGCGUUGUCCGGAUUUAUUGGGCGUAAAGAGCGUGUAGGCGGCCAGGGAGGUCCGUUGUGAAAACUCGAGGCUCAACCUCGAGACGCCGAUGGAAACCCCCUGGCUAGAGUCCGGAAGAGGAGAGUGGAAUUCCGUGGUGUAGCGGUGAAAUGCGCAGAUAUCAGGAAGAACACCCGUGGCUAAGGCGGCUCUCUAGUACGGUACUGACGCUGAGACGCGAAAGCGUGGGGAGCGAACAGGG